UGCAGUCGAGCGGGGACAUAUUGUGAAGCAGAAGUUUUCGGACGGAAGCGGAACGAUAUGUUCUAGCGGCGGACGGGUGAGUAACGCGUGAGCAACCUGUCCCUUACAGGGGGAUAACACAGCGAAAGUUGUACUAAUACCGCAUAAGACCACAGAGUCACAUGGCUUAGGGGUCAAAGGAGCAAUCCGGUAAGGGGUGGGCUCGCGUCCGAUUAGAUAGUUGGUGAGGUAACGGCCCACCAAGUCGACGAUCGGUAGCCGACCUGAGAGGGUGAUCGGCCACAUUGGGACUGAGACACGGCCCAAACUCCUACGGGAGGCAGCAGUGGGGAAUAUUGGGCAAUGGGGGAAACCCUGACCCAGCAACGCCGCGUGAGGGAAGAAGGUUUUCGGAUCGUAAACCUCUGUCCUAGGUGAAGAGAAAGAGACGGUAGCCUAGGAGGAAGCCCCGGCUAACUACGUGCCAGCAGCCGCAGGUCAAUACGUAGGGGGCGAGCGUUGUCCGGAAUGAUUGGGCGUAAAGGGCGCGUAGGCGGCCCGGUAAGUCUGAAGUGAAAGUCCUGCGUUCAACGUGGGAAUUGCUUUGGAUACUGUCGGGCUUGAGUGCAGGAGAGGUAAGUGGAAUUCCCAGUGUAGCGGUGAAAUGCGUAGAGAUUGGGAGGAACACCAGUGGCGAAGGCGACUUACUGGACUGUAACUGACGCUGAGGCGCGAAAGUGUGGGGAGCAAACAGGAUUAGAUACCCUGGUAGUCCACACUGUAAACGAUGAAUGCUAGGUGUAGGGGGUAUCGACCCCUUCUGUGCCGCAGUUAACACAAUAAGCAUUCCGCCUGGGGAGUACGGCCGCAAGGUUGAAACUCAAAGGAAUUGACGGGGGCCCGCACAAGCAGCGGAGCAUGUGGUUUAAUUCGAAGCAACGCGAAGAACCUUACCAGGUCUUGACAUCCCAAUAAAAGCCGUAGAGAUACGGGGUGUCUUCGGACGAU
rnacentral:rRNA from 1 species